AUCAUAAACUCAAGAUUCAUUUGUAAAUUUAGGGAGUCAUAUUAUGCUUGUGAAGGAAGAGUCAUAGUUCAAAGGUGAAUGACCUUCUCUUGGAAUUCCAUCAUUCACCCAUCCUUUCCACAUGAUCUUACACCGCAUGCACCACUUUAUUUUGAUUCUAUUUUGUGAAAUAAAAUUACAAUCCAAACCCACUAACCCUAGCCAAAAACGGCCGUAGCCUUUUUUAUUCUAUUAAUCACUUUUCUAUCUGCUCCUCGUCUGGAAGCUUACUGCAUUUCACAGAGGGUAGAGCGAGCAGUAGCAGCAGAAGCAGCAGCGACGGCGGUAGUAACCACGGAGGGGAAAGCGUGGUGGUGGAUUAUGGAAAAAACAAAAGCUCACGGUUCGUCUCUCUCAUCAACUCCCUCUCUCUCUGUCGUAAUUUGUUUGGUUGUAAGUUCACAAUUUGGUUGAUUUCUCUUGCUAUUUAGAAUUUGAACAAGUUUAGAAUUUUGAUUGUGAUUAAUAGAGCCGUGUAGCCUUUAAAAUUGAUUAUAUU